AGAGUUUGAUCCUGGCUCAGGAUGAACGCUAGCGGGAGGCUUAACACAUGCAAGCCGAGGGGUAUUGAGUUGCUUGCAGCUCGAGAGACCGGCGUACGGGUGAGUAACGCGUAUGUAACUUGCCUCAUUCAACGGGAUAGCCCGGGGAAACCCGGAUUAAUAUCGUAUAACAGCCGGACAGGCAUCUGUUUGGUUUGAAAGAUUUAUCGGAAUGAGAUAGACAUGCGUCAGAUUAGUUAGUUGGCGGGGUAACGGCCCACCAAGGCGAUGAUCUGUAGGGGUACUGAGAGGUAGAUCCCCCACACUGGUACUGAGACACGGACCAGACUCCUACGGGAGGCAGCAGUGAGGAAUAUUGGACAAUGGGUGAGAGCCUGAUCCAGCCAUCCCGCGUGCAGGAAGACGGCCUUAUGGGUUGUAAACUGCUUUUAUACAGGAAUAAACCACCUUUCGUGAAGGGUGUUGAAGGUACUGUAUGAAUAAGCACCGGCUAACUCCGUGCCAGCAGCCGCGGUAAUACGGAGGGUGCAAGCGUUAUCCGGAUUUAUUGGGUUUAAAGGGUCCGCAGGCGGACUAGUAAGUCAGGGGUGAAAUCCGGCAGCUUAACUGUCGAACUGCCUUUGAUACUGCAAGUCUUGAGUGGGAAUGAAGCAGCUGGAAUGUGUGGUGUAGCGGUGAAAUGCAUAGAUAUCACACAGAACACCGAUAG
rnacentral:rRNA from 1 species